rnacentral:tRNA from 1 species
GUGCGUAUAGCCCAAUGGUGGGGCGCAUGCUUAGCGUGCACGAGGUCCUGGGUUCAGUCCCCAGUACCUCCA